GCCUGGGUGGCUCAGUCGGUUAAGUGUCCGACUUCUGCUCGGGUCAUGAUCUCGUGGUUCAUGGGUUCGAGCCCCGUGUUGGGCU
rnacentral:tRNA from 1 species